UGGUGGGCAAGUAAGUACAGUAUAUGUCAUAGAUAACAGUAACUACGUAGUGUUUACGGUAAUUUACUUGUAACUAAUGAUUUUUCUGAACGAUUACUUUUAAUUUCGUUAUUUUUGUAAACAAGUUAUACAGUAUUCAAGUACUAUUCCGACUUUCUUUGAUUGUUUAAUUAUGCUUCACAGCUGUUUAUUGUCCAUGUUAUUGAUAAUAUACAUAUAGGCUAUCUGAUUUACAUAGGGAAAGAUAUUGACCAUUGCUUAUAUACCCGUGGUAGUUACAUAGGAAAGGCUACUGGUUACGACGGUAACUCAAUACUGCUGAUGUGGCAACUAUAAAAUGCUUGUUACCUUUGAUAGAUGAACGGACGGACGGAGAGAGAGAGAGAGAGAGAGAGAGAGAGAGUAUCCUGGGUGAAGUUGUCAACUCACCACAUGACCAACCUGUUAAUAAUAUCAGCCAAUCAGAGGAAAGAUUAAACUAUUACGACCCUACAAAAAAAAGGCGAAAUGUGUGUUAUAUGGAAGGCCGAACUAAAGUCUCAUUAUGGCAAGGAACUACCGACCCGAAGAGACCUGUACGCGUGGAUGAUUCAAUGUGAGGAGACUGGCAGUUUUCUAAAACAGCAUGGUAGAGAAAAGCCCAGAACAACGGAGGAAGAUGUUGAAUGCAUACAUGAUGCCUUCCACAGAGGCCCAAGGAAGUCCAUCCGCCAAGCCAGUACCGAAUACAGCAAAUUCCACGUUAAACUGUACACCCACGGCUGCCCCUUUAUGCAUAUAAGCUUUAACUGGUUAGCAGCUCAGAGUACCAGUGUGAUUUAGUCUGUGCUACGAAUGGUGUACAUGUUGAAUGUCUACCCUAACGUACCCUAAUGUACCCGAAUGAUAUGUUUACUUAUGUGCCAAAUAAAACUUAAGCAAAUGAC